UACCAUUUUCGCUCUGAAUGCUACAUCAUCUUCAAACGCUGUGUAGCUGCAGCUCUCCCUAGUGCGUUCUACACACACGUUGAAGGGCGCUUUAACGUCGUAUCGGACGCUGACAGCCACUGCCCAAACGUCCGUAUUUUACGAG